rnacentral:rRNA from 1 species
GAACCGUCCGAACGUUAUUCGGAAUCACUGGGCUUAAAGGGUGCGUAGGCGGGCGCGGAAAGUUGGGGUGUGAAAUACCUCGGGCUCAACCGAGGAACUGCGCCCAAAACUUCCGUGCUCGAGGGAGAUAGAGGUGAGCGGAACUUAGGGUGGAGCGGUGAAAUGCGUUGAUAUCCUAAGGAACACCGGUGGCGAAAGCGGCUCACUGGAUCUCUUCUGACGCUGAGGCACGAAAGCUAGGGUAGCGAACGGGAUUAGAUACCCCGGUAGUCCUAGCCGUAAACGAUGAGCACUGGAUUGAAGGGUCCUCCAUAGCCUUUCAGUCGCAACGAAAGCGUUAAGUGCUCCGCCUGGGGAGUAUGGUCGCAAGGCUG